AAAGAGCCUUGACCUGAGGCUAGCUUGGCUUCCUGCCCGAGCUCCGCAAGCCGGAGCUGCGGUGAGGCCGCUGCGCCCAGGAGGGAGAAAAAUCACCCCACGUGGGCGUGGGGUUUCCCUACCUGGAAAAAGGAGACCGAGUGUCUCGGUUUCCUGGAGUGCUCACCCCCCUGGGGACCUUCUAUUGAUAAUUCCAGUCCGACCCACUCUCUUUCUAGCUGACUCCCUUAGCUCCCUACUGUUUAGGGCACAGUAUAUACAUAAAGCAAAGUGUUAACCAUUUUCAAUAUUUUUCUAUGUCUUCUCUUAGCACGUGCUUUCCCCAGUUUCCAGAUCCACCUCAAAUUGUUAAUGAAACUCCCAGUUGCCCUCCAAGCUUUAUCGCCUCUGGAAGAGGGAGGCCUGGGAUCUUCCCAACCCAGGGAUCGAAGCUGCAUCUCUUGCAUCUCCUGCAUUGGCAGGCAGAUUCUUA
ensembl:lncRNA